ensembl:snRNA U2 U2 spliceosomal RNA
AUCGCUUCUCGGCCUUUUGGCUAAGAUCAAGUGUAGUAUCUGUUCUUGUCAGUUUAAUAUCUUAUAAUCUGGUUCUUUAUGCAUCUGGUUCUUUAGGCAUCAAUAUCAUAAAACUAUUCUAAUAACUUCU